rnacentral:miRNA from 14 species
GUGUGUGUGUGUGUGUGUGUGUGUGUGUGUGUGUGUAGCUGGCCUCCAGCCAUCACACACACACACACACAAACUGACCC